AGGUAAAACUCCAUGGAGGACCGAACGCACGUUCGUUGCAAUGACCGGCGAUGACCUGUGGAUAGCGGUGAAAUUCCAAUCGAACCCGGAGAUAGCUGGUUCUCCCCGAAAUAGCUUUAGGGCUAGCGUCGAGGUAGAGAGUUGCGUGAAGGUAGAGCACUGAAUAUGUGAUGGCCCCAUCUCGGGGUACUGAGCAUAAUCAAACUGCGAAUGUCACGGAAACAUACUCGGCAGUCAGACAGCGGGUGAUAAGGUCCGUUGUCAAGAGGGAAACAGCCCAGACCAUCAGCUAAGGUCCCAAAAUGUAUGCUAAGUGGAAAAGGAUGUGGAGAUGUACAGACAACUAGGAGGUUGGCUCAGAAGCAGCCAUCCUUUAAAGAGUGCGUAACAGCUCACUAGUCGAAUGACUCUGCGCCGAUAAUUUACCGGGGCUAAGCAUACUACCGAAGCUAUGGAUCCCAAGGGAUGGUAGGGGAGCGUUCCAUGAACGGAGAAGCGCGAUCGAGAGGACGCGUGGAGAUCAUGGAAGAGAGAAUGCCGGUGUGAGUAGCGGAACGUGGGUGAGAAUCCCACGCACCGAAAACCCAAGGUUUCCAGAGGAAGGUUCGUCCGCUCUGGGUAAGUCGGGACCUAAGGCGAGGCCGAGAGGCGUAGUCGAUGGACAACAGGUAGAGAUUCCUGUACUCAUAUAUAUGUGAAGGAAUGACGGAGAGAGGAAGCUGCAGCCAGCGGCUGGAAGAGCUGGUGCAAGCGAGAUAUCGGGAUGGCAGGCAAAUCCACCAUCCGAAACGAGAAGGCGUGAAGCGUACGGAAAGCUAAGGCGAGUACGGAAGGCAGUGGAGGAGCUUCCAAGAAAAGUUUCUAACGAAAGUAUAUGUGACCCGUACCGAAAAUGGACACACAUGGGUGAGGAGAGAAUCCUAAGGUGAGCGAGAGAACUAUAGCUAAGGAACUCUGCAAAAUGACUCCGUAACUUAGGGAGAAGGAGUGCUCAUAGAGAUAUGAGCCGCAGUGAAACGGCCCAAGCGACUGUUUACCAAAAACACAGCUCUCUGCUAAGCCGCAAGGCGAAGUAUAGGGGGUGACGCCUGCCCGGUGCUGGAAGGUUAAGGGGAGGGGUUAACGCAAGUGAAGCCCUGAACUGAAGCCCCAGUAAACGGCGGCCGUAACUAUAACGGUCCUAAGGUAGCGAAAUUCCUUGUCAGGUAAGUUCUGACCCGCACGAAAGGCGUAAUGAUUUGUGCACUGUCUCGACAACACGCCCGGUGAAAUUGAAGAACCAGUGAAGAUACUGGUUACCCGCAACAGGACGGAAAGACCCCAUGGAGCUUUACUGCAGCCUGAUACUGGGAUUCGAUGAUAUAUGUACAGGAUAGGUGGGAGGCUAAGAAGCGAGAACGCUAGUUUUCGUGGAGCCGCCGGUGGGAUACCACUCUUAUGUCAUUGAAUUUCUAACCUGCAUCCGUAAUCCGGGUGAGGGACAAUGUCAGGCGGGCAGUUUGACUGGGGCGGUCGCCUCCUAAAAGGUAACGGAGGCGCUCGAAGGUCACCUCAGAAUGAUUGGAAACCAUUCAAAGAGUGUAAAGGCAAAAGGUGGCUUGACUGCGAGAGCGACGGCUCGAGCAGGUACGAAAGUAGGACUUAGUGAUCCGGUGGUAAUAAGUGGGAAUGCCAUCGCUCAACGGAUAAAAGCUACCCUGGGGAUAACAGGCUUAUCACUCCCAAGAGUUCACAUCGACGGAGUGGUUUGGCACCUCGAUGUCGGCUCAUCGCAUCCUGGGGCUGUAGUAGGUCCCAAGGGUUGGGCUGUUCGCCCAUUAAAGCGGUACGCGAGCUGGGUUCAGAACGUCGUGAGACAGUUCGGUCCCUAUCCGUUGUGGGCGCAGGAAAUUUGAGAGGAGCUGUCCUUAGUACGAGAGGACCGGGAUGGACGUACCUCUGGUGUACCGGUUGCAGACCAACUGCACAGCCGGGUAGCUAUGUAUGGAACGGAUAAACGCUGAAGGCAUCUAAGCGUGAAGCCGCCCUCAAGAUAAGAUUUCCCAUUCUUCGGAAGUAAGAUCCCUUAAAGAUAAUGAGGUUGAUAGGUUGGAGGUGUAAGCAUGGUAACAUGUUCAGCUGACCAAUACUAAUAGAUCGAGGGCUUGACCAA
rnacentral:rRNA from 1 species